rnacentral:misc_RNA from 1 species
GAAGUAAUGUGAAUUGCAGGACACAUUGAACAUCGACAUCUUGAACGCAUAUUGCGGCCUCGGGCAUUCCCGAGGCCACGCCUGUCUCAGGGUCGGUUGAACUUAUCAAUCGUCGGUCGUCCUAUUUGCCGACGCAUUGGACCGUCGCGGCGCGUACGUCCUACGGGUGCGAUCGGUCGGCCUAAUUUGCCGAUCGCACCUUUACGCGCCACGUCGUCCGAAGUACAGACGGGUCCGUCGAUGCUUUGCCGGCCGCACGUCCUCAGUCCGCCCGUCUCGGACGGGGACGGCGACUCGGAUUCUCGAUUGAGAGCUGCCGUUGCCUGUCUAUGGCGGUACGGUCGGCAAAGUGUCCUUAUAUCGGCGGAUCCAAGAACGCACGCGUGUUUGAAAUCGUCGUCGGGUCUGUCUUGUUCGUUCGUUCGAACGAGGCUC